CGGGAAGAGCUCAAAUUUAUAAUCUGGCACCUUCGGUGUCCGAGUUGUAAUCUCUAGAAAUGUUUUCCGCGUUGGACCGCACACAAGUCUGUUGGAAUACAGCGGCAUAGUGGUGAGACCCCCGUAUAUGGUGCGGACGCCCAGCGCUUUGUGAUACAUUUUCGAAGAGUCGAGUUGUUUGGGAAUGCAGCUCAAAUUGGGUGGUAAAUUCCAUCUAAAGCUAAAUAUUGGCGAGAGACCGAUAGCGAACAAGUACCGUGAGGGAAAGAUGAAAAGCACUUUGGAAAGAGAGUUAACAGUACGUGAAAUUGUUGGAAGGGAAACGCUUGAAGUCAGACUUGCUUGCCGAGCAAUCGGUUUGCAGGCCAGCAUCAGUUUUCCGGGAUGGAUAAUGGUAGAGAGAAGGUAGCAGUUUCGGCUGUGUUAUAGCUCUCUGCUGGAUACAUCUUGGGGGACUGAGGAACGCAGUGUGCCUUUGGCGGGGGUUUCGACCUCUUCACACUUAGGAUGCUGGUGGAAUGGCUUU
rnacentral:rRNA from 1 species